rnacentral:rRNA from 1 species
GACGAACGCUGGCGGCGUGCUUAACACAUGCAAGUCGAACGGAAAGGCCCUGCUUUUGUGGGGUGCUCGAGUGGCGAACGGGUGAGUAACACGUGAGUAACCUGCCCUUGACUUUGGGAUAACUUCAGGAAACUGGGGCUAAUACCGGAUAGGAGCUCCUGCUGCAUGGUGGGGGUUGGAAAGUUUCGGCGGUUGGGGAUGGACUCGCGGCUUAUCAGCUUGUUGGUGGGGUAGUGGCUUACCAAGGCUUUGACGGGUAGCCGGCCUGAGAGGGUGACCGGCCACAUUGGGCCUGAGAUACGGCCCAGACUCCUACGGGAGGCAGCAGUGGGGAAUAUUGCACAAUGGGCGGAAGCCUGAUGCAGCAACGCCGCGUGCGGGAUGACGGCCUUCGGGUUGUAAACCGCUUUCGCCUGUGACGAAGCGUGAGUGACGGUAAUGGGUAAAGAAGCACCGGCUAACUACGUG